rnacentral:lncRNA from 1 species
AAAUACACAAAAGAAAGAAUAAUCAAAUGGGAAGCCUCCCCACUCCAAUGCCCCUUCAAAUCUCAUUUAAAUCCCUAAUUAAUGCUCUGGAUGACACAUCAAACAAGGGAGAAAGAAUCCUAACUUUCCAUAACAACAUUAAUUCAACAAUUUUUUAUUACUCAAUCCAAUGAAUGUAUGAUGCAUGUCAUAAUUAUUAUAAUGAAAAGAAUUUAAAAAAAAAACAAAAAGUUAACGUAACAAAAUCUGCCAAGAAAAAAAACAAAGUGUAUCCUCUCUGUUUAU